rnacentral:lncRNA from 1 species
UGGGUCUCAGGAUGCAGUGAGUAGCUGAUGUCAUGGUUCAGCAGGCUGUCAGUGGCCUGGGACUGUCCUGCAUGACUUUUGCUUCUGCUGUGUUAUCCAGCCUCAAUUCUGCCUACUUUUUAUCCUGCAUGGCUUGGAACUGGAAUCUGUCAUCACUGGCCUCUGCUUGGUGUUUGUUUCAGUUCACCGCUGAAGUGAGAAAUGCCAUGCUGCCAGAAUGCCCCGCGGAUGUGGUAAUACCAGAGCCUCCGUCGUUUUGUUCUCUGCCCAUGGGACCUGAUUCCCUGUGAGACUGUUUUCCCGUGAAGCAUCAUCAGAUCUUCUUGUGGCUGAAGUGCGUUAGUUAAUCAUGGGUUGGGGGGGAGAAGAGCAUUGCUACUUUUCCCUCAGCCACCUCCAAGACCAGCAAAUAGCUCACAAUAUUGUCCCAAUUCACAAAGAUUUAUGUCAACAUGCAGUAUAUCGUGUCAUGGGCCAUAAGUAUAAUUUUCUUCGAUGAAAGGAAUAGCUUUGCCUAUUUGUUUGUCCUUUACAGAGUUUAAAGUGUAUGGUCUGUUGCUGAUGGGUUGGUUUCUUCUGUGCUGUGUCAGCUGCAGGCUGCUUUAGAGGGCAAUCGUACAUUUUAGGACCACUCCUCCAAAGAAAAUCCCACUCCUCCUGCAGGCUGGGCAUAGCCACCUUGCUUAAUCUGUCUCAGUACCAACAUACUUUUGAGGUAAGAAUGGCUGCUUGGAUGACAAAAGUGAAGGCUAGUGUUUAGGCAAACAUUGUGACUUUCUAGAAGAAACAGAAAAGCACUCAUUUUCACCAUAUUACUCACACUUUUUCUCAGUGUCUUUUUCUAGCACUCAUUCUAGUUAAAAGAAAGCAUAGCUCCUUUAGUUGAAAAUGCAUUACAAAUUCAUGAUUACUUAAUUUCUGCAGCACUUCUUUGCUACUGUUAUCAAAUCAUAUUUCAUAUGCUAUUCACUUUAAUCUCUUAGCAGUCCCGUGGCUCAUGGACAAGGAGUUUUAG